GGAUGUGAGGGCUAUCUAGCUGAGAUAUCUGUCACCCCAUUGAUUGCCAGGGAUGAUUCAGUCAAUGUGGCUGGAUAGGCUGGUAUCCCCUUCUUCCCUCACUGCUCCAUGUGCGUCCUUCCCAAAGCUGCACACUCAGUCGAAGAGGGCAAUCUUCCCUGAUAGAGAAGAGGACCACUCUUUGGUCAAAGGUAUAUGAGUAGCCGCGCUCCCAUGGUAGAACCUCCAAAAACACUCUUAAUGUCCAUUAGUAGGAGAACAUAGGGUAGUCAAGUUUCCAAGACUCCAGACACAUUCAAAUGAGGUGCUGCAUGUGGCAGUCUUCCUUUCUUU
rnacentral:snRNA from 1 species